GUGAUAACGUCUCCAGAAACUUGAGAACAUCUUGAGGUAAUUGAUUCAGGAUCCUGUUGCGGGUACCCGAAUAAGCCGGGUUCAACUUCAAGGAAUCUUCGUGCUGGAAAGAAGUAUCCUCUUUAGGAACAGAGCCCGGACAUCAAAAUUUCAGCUACCACAAAAUUCUGUAGACAGUGUGGUUAUUUGUCAAAUAAUUUACAUUUCUUGUCUUGUUAAUUAAACGGGUGCCAUUUUAAUAAGAAGAUACGAGAAAUUUUACUACCUCACAGGAAAGACUACUUUAUAUAUCCUUAUAUUAGUUAUUUUGUCUUUUAUGGAAUUCCGAUAUUCAGCAAGUUGUCUCAUAAUUAAAUUUUGAAGUGACGCAGUAAAAUAUGCGCGCGCAAUACGAAAUGUCCCAUUAAGUAGCUUUCACUUCCAAUAAAUGAUUCGCAUUAUUCAAAUAACGGCUCGAGUUACGGGAAAAAGUAUUACAAGAUAACCCUAAAAAAUCCUACCUGAUUCUGAUCCUGAUGGGUUUCACAGAGGACGCUAUUCGUUAUCAGGAAGCCAACAAUGGUACUGCUAAUAAUCAGUCUCAUCUUUAGGGAUGUUGAAAUAUCACGAUUGAGGAAUCGACUGACUGUUUGCAGGUUAUGCGAAUUGGCUCCUCUUUAUACUUGCCGCUUCUCGCCAAUUUAUUGGGAGUAUAAUCCUGCCACCUGGACAGGGAUUGACUCCCACUUAUCGGACCCCUAUCGCGAUGACGACAAUGAGGCCAAAAGUUUAUGACGACAGUAACGGCGGAAAAAAUCAACAGCUUAGCAGAUUCCAUGGAUUUAUUAUCUAUUUCUGGCUGAUUCUCUGCCCAGCUGAUUAUCUAUCCAAAUGUUCUCACAAUUAACCUGGUU